rnacentral:lncRNA from 1 species
UGGCAGAGCUGACAUUGGUUGAUAACGGCUUCCUGAAAUAUAUCCCAUCAAUAGUUGCAGCUUCAGCUGUAUUUUUAGCCAGAUGGACAUUAGAUCAAUCAAACCACCCAUGGGUUUGCUUUUAUUUUUUAUUCUUUCUACUUGUUUCAUUGCUUCAGGUUUAGUUGUGUUGGGUGUUUUGACCUGAAUUUGUAAACCAUGCAGAAUCCAACACUGGAGCAUUACACUUCCUACAUGGCAUCAGAUCUCAAAGCCGCAGUUCUUGAGUUGCAAAAUUUGCAAUUGAACACCAAGAAUAGCCCUCUCAUUGCUAUACGCGCAAAGUACCAACAAGACAAGGUAAGCUGAUCCCUGGUGCAUAGACAUUAGAUUAAAAUCUUUUGUAGUCAUUGUUAUGCACUGUUUCGCUUAUUUUACAGCUUUAUACCUUUACUUAUUCUAUCUCUGCGACAACAGUUUAAAUCAGUUGCACGUUUGUCUUCUCCGAAACUGCUGGAGACCCUAUUCUAACAAUGUGAUGGAGUGCUAACAGAUGCAACUACUCUUACCAUAUUGCGCAAGAAUGAUGUCUAUGAAUUUCUGCGUUUCGUCCUCCUCUUAGCGUUGGAGGGUUGUACUUAAAAGAGCUAAUCUAUAAAGUCUUUUGCAUGCUGCAUUCAUAAAUUGGUUCAAUGAGCCAUUUCUUUAGUUCAUUCGUUUCUGUUGAUAAAAUUAUUGACUCCUCUAGAGUUGGAGGUUUGGCGCUCACAAACCUAUCUUAUCAGUCUGUUUUGUAGCUGGAACCAAUUUGAAGCGCUGAUCACAGUAAGCUUAUUAUUAAUUAACUAGCUUCUUAACCCGUGCAAAGCACGGGUUGCUUUAAAUCAUUUUCUUCAAUAUAUGUUAUAUCUCGUUAUUUAUCUUUUUUUAUAUAUAUUUGUAUUUUAAAUCAUAGUAUGUUGAUGUCUGUAUAUACACAUAUCCUCACUUUUAUGAUAUUUAUUAAAAAUAUAAAUACAAAAAAUAUAUUAAAAUUCGGUUAAAUCAAUGACUAAUUGGUCGAAAAUUGGAUUAAUAGGGUCGAAAAUCAGGUAGAAUAUUAAAAAUUUACAAAAAUUUUUGGGAAAAUUUAAAAUUUUAAAAAUGAUUAUAUAUAUAUAUAUAUAUAUAUAUAUAUUAUUUUUACAUAUAUAAUAUUAAAUUAAUUUUGAAUAAUGAUCCUAUUAAUCAUUCUGAUUAAUCGUUGAUUUUCUGAUUCCCGCUUUUUACAACACUAAAUAUUUAUUUAUUUAUUAUUAAAUCAUAAUUAUAUAUGAUAUAUCCAAAAAAUUAUAAAAUAUACAUUUUUAUAAAAACAAAUAAACAUUAAGGCUUAACUUUCGUAGCCAAACAUAGCCCCAUAGAUACUUAAUUCCUACAUUAUACAUCAAGCCAGUCCAUUGACUGCAAUAUCAAAAUACAUAUUUUUAUAUAUAGAGAGGUCAUUAUUGACUUUUAAAACUAACGUAUUUUAUUAGACAUUAAUGUCCAAUCAUUAAUAUACAUUAAUUAUAACAUGAUUUUGGAAUUAAUUUAAUAUUAUACAUAUAAAUAAUAUAUAUCUAAUCAUUUUUAAAAUUUUUUAUUUUCCCAAUCUUUUCUUUUUUUUAUAGACGUACGUUCAAAUUUUGUGAAUGAAAAAUAUCUUCUUUUUUUUUUUUGAAACAAAGGUGUUAAUCUAAUAAUAGAAAGCCAUACGGCAUCUACACCAAUGAUCGAGUCGAACAAACUGAAUGUAUGUUGAGUAAAGGAUAGUUUAGUCAUUUUGGAUUAAAUUGAUCAAGAUUCGAUUUUACUGCUACAAGUAUGUGUCAGAUACUUAGAUAUAUAGAAUAAAAAAAAUAGUUACUGGGUAAUCACUGUUUCAGGCUUCUGGUCAUUAGCCCCUGUACCGGGAUGCUUGGCCAAACUGCUUCUUUUAUCAUCAACUACGGUAUAUAUUACAUGAUGUUUAAACACAAUUGGAAAUAUAACAUCUAAUUAUGUCAGCAGCCAAACUGCUUCUUUUAUCAUCAACUACAGUAUAUAUUACAUGAUGUUUAAACACAAUUGGAAAUAUAACAUCUCAUUAUGUCAGCAGCCAAACUGCUUCUUUUAUCAUCAACUACAGUAUAUAUUAGGGCUUUUUUCAUAAAUACCUAAGUUUAAAAAAAAAUUGCAAAAAUACUGUGACUUUUUAAAACAAAUUGUAAAAAUACUAUAAUUCAACAAAUAUUUGCAAAAAUACGGUGGUUGCAUAUGCAAUCAUAUCUACAACCGUUAGCAACCCCAUAUGCAACUACAAAUGCAACUUUGAAAAAAUCUAAUUAAAAAUUAUAGUUAUUUGCAUAAUGAGUUGCAAGUGGUUGCAAUUGGCGAAAAAUGAUGUGAGUGCCCCUACGGGGCCAACACUAAUAUAACUAUGAAAUCAACUAAAAGUAACCAUAAAAUCAAUUAAAAGCAACCAAUUAAAAACGAUUAUAAAAAGCUGCAACUUCACCUUAAUCACAGCUAGCCGCUAGGAUCCGGCUCACAAACAUCACCACAUCCAUUAACUAAACAACGUCACCUCCAACCACCACCAAUCCUCCGCCAGUGCCCAGACUUCUCCACCUCCUUAUGUUAUGAAAUCAAUUAAAAGCAGAUGUUCAAUUAACAAGAGAGAGAUAGAGAGAAAAAGUGUGAGAAAGGGGAAAGAGAGAGGAUAAUGAAAUCAAGAACCACCGCCGCCAUCCGCCGUCGUAGGGCUUCUCCACCGUGCCAAAGGUAGAGAGAAAGUGGAUAUAAAAGAUUGACUUUGUUACGAGUAAUUUCAGAAAGUCCGAAAACCCCAUUUUUCUGGCUUCGUAAAGCCUAUACGCAAAAAUGUAAACUUCUAAAUGUUUUUAGAAAAGAAGUCGUAUAUUUGCAAGGAUUAGAAGGUUAUAGUAUUUUUGCAAUAAUUAUGUUAAAAAGUAGUACAGUUGUUAAAUUCCCUAUAUAUUAC